UACGUAGGUGACCAGCGUUGUCCGGAUUUACUGGGCGUAAAGAGCGCGCAGGCGGUCGUUCAAGUCGAGUGUGAAAGCCCCCGGCUCAACUGGGGAGGGUCACUUGAUACUGAUCGACUCGAAGGCAGGAGAGGGAAGCGGAAUUCCCGGUGUAGUGGUGAAAUGCGUAGAUAUCGGGAGGAACACCGGUGGCGAAGGCGGGUCUCUGGGCCGAUACUGACGCUGAGGAGCGAAAGCGUGGGGAGCGAACAGG
rnacentral:rRNA from 1 species